rnacentral:rRNA from 1 species
GCGGGGCCCAUCCCGUAAGGCUAAAUACUCCCGAGAGACCGAUAGCGAACCAGUACCGUGAGGGAAAGGUGAAAAGAACCCCGAGCAGGGGAGUGAAAUAGACCCUGAACCCGUCUGCCUACAAGCGGUCGGAGCGUUGUUAUGACGUGACGGCGUGCCUUUUGCAUAAUGAACCUACGAGUUACCUUCCCCGGCAAGGUUAAGUACCUAAGGUACGGAGCCGAAGCGAAAGCGAGUCUGAAGAGGGCGGCCAGUCGGGGGGGGUAGACGCGAAACCGAGUGAUCUACCCUUGGCCAGGUUGAAGGUUGGGUAACACCAACUGGAGGACCGGAUGGGUAAGCGUUGAAAAGCUUUCCAAUGAGCUGAGGGUAGGGGUGAAAGGCUAAUCAAACUCGGAGAUAGCUCGUACUCCCCGAAAUGCAUUUAGGUGCAGCCUCUUUAUAGUAUAUCGUGAGGUAGAGCGACUGAUUGGAUGCGAGGGCUUCACCGCCUAUCAAGUCCAGAUAAACUCCGAAUGCGCGAUAUAUAUUUACAGGGAGUGAGGGCGCGGGUGCUAAGGUCCGUGUCCGAGAGGAGAAGAAUCCAGACCACCGGCUAAGGCCCCCAAAUGAUCGUUGAGUUGAACUAACGAGGUCGGAUCGCAGAGACAGCUAGGAUGUUGGCUUGGAAGCAGCCAUUCAUUUAAAGAGUGCGUAACAGCUCACUAGUCGAGCGAUCUGGCGUGGAUAAUAAUCGGGCAUAAACGAUCUGCCGAAGCCGUGGAUGUCGUAAGACAUGGUAGGGGAGCAUUCCAUGCGGCGUCGAAGAUGAGGGAUGACCCUUGUUGGAGCGCAUGGAAAAGCAAAUGUAGGUAUGAGUAACGAUAAGGGGGGCGAGAAACCCCCCCGCCGAAAGACCAAGGUUUCCUGAUCAACGCUAAUCGGAUCAGGGUGAGUCGGGACCUAAGGCAAAGCCGAACGGCGCCGCCGAUGGAAGAAUGGGUUAAUAUUCCCAUACUGCCUCAUGGAGUGACGUGGAGACGGAGAAGUGACAGUCCUGCCGGCUGACGGAAUAGCCGGUUGAAGGGUGUAGAUAUUGAUUCCCGUAGGCAAAUCCGCGGGGAGAGUCGAACCUGACAGUAUACCGAGUACUUGUACGAGGUAAUAUGGACGUAACCAUGCUCCCAAGAAAAUCCGCUAAACUUAUCCAUGCGGCACCCGUACCGUAAACGGACACACGUGGUCGGGUUGAGAAUACUGAGGCGCUCGAGUGACUCACGGUUAAGGAACUAGGCAAAUUGACCCUGUAACUUCGGGAUAAAGGGUCCUCGUCGUAAGGCGAGGCGCAGAGAAUAGGUCCAGGCAACUGUUUAACAAAAACACAUGGCUAUGCUAAAUGGAAACAUGACGUAUAUAGCCUGACACCUGCCCGGUGCUGGAAGGUUAAGAGGAGAUGUCAUCGCAAGAGAAGCGUUGAAUUGAAGCCCCAGUAAACGGCGGCCGUAACUAUAACGGUCCUAAGGUAGCGAAAUUCCUUGUCGGGUAAGUUCCGACCUGCACGA